CUGUCCUAUCUUCUGAGCUGGGACCCCACAUUUAUAAUAGCUAGUUCACGAAAACAUUUUGUGAUCCUAAAUUCUCUAUAAAUAAACCCAUUUUUCUCUCUGCAUUUCUCCCAUCCAGCAGGAUCCUAAGGCCUUUGUAGUCCUUCAGCCACUGUGGCCCCUGCCUCUGCCUGUUCUUCUGGAAUGUCUUGGGGGUUUUGAUCCUGUCACUGUGGUAUCCUAAUUGUAUCCUGAGG
rnacentral:lncRNA from 1 species